ACGAUGAAAUUAAAUCCCUCUAUAUCCAAUGGUAAUUGUUCCAACCUUACCGCCACACAUCCAAAUCCAAUUGCAUGAACUACCUUAGAAAGCUCCCUUUACGCUGUUCUCUUGGCUCACAUGCAUCAAGUUAUUACAUUGAGGAAUCUCAUAUGAGUUGGUCCACAAGAUGUUGACAAGAAGUUUCGAACUCACAAUUCCACGAAUAUCACGAGGCCUUAAGAACCACUUAGCCAAAUCCUAGGGAUCAAGAUAGAUUAUGAAUCCUCAUGUUUGUCAAUACUACAUCAGAAGAACAAUCCAACAUAGCUAUUGAAGCUUCAGUCUGGGAUCUAUGAGGUGCCUGUUCGUACUGCAAAGUUUUCUAAAAACUCUCUGCUCCAGAAAAAA